CCUGGCUCAGGACGAACGCUGGCGGCGCGCCUAACACAUGCAAGUCGAACGAGCGAGAGAGAGCUUGCUUUCUCAAGCGAGUGGCGAACGGGUGAGUAACGCGUGCGGAACCUGCCUCAAAGAGGGGGACAACAGUUGGAAACGACUGCUAAUACCGCAUAAGCCCACGGGUCGGCAUCGACCAGAGGGAAAAGGAGCAAUCCGCUUUGAGAUGGCCUCGCGUCCGAUUAGCUAGUUGGUGAGGUAACGGCCCACCAAGGCAACGAUCGGUAGCCGGACUGAGAGGUUGAACGGCCACAUUGGGACUGAGACACGGCCCAGACUCCUACGGGAGGCAGCAGUGGGGAAUAUUGCACAAUGGGGGAAACCCUGAUGCAGCGACGCCGCGUGGAGGAAGAAGGUCUUCGGAUUGUAAACUCCUGUUGUUGAGGAAGAUAAUGACGGUACUCAACAAGGAAGUGACGGCUAACUACGUGCCAGCAGCCGCGGUAAAACGUAGGUCACAAGCGUUGUCCGGAAUUACUGGGUGUAAAGGGAGCGCAGGCGGGAAGACAAGUUGGAAGUGAAAUCUAUGGGCUCAACCCAUAAACUGCUUUCAAAACUGUUUUUCUUGAGUAGUGCAGAGGUAGGCGGAAUUCCCGGUGUAGCGGUGGAAUGCGUAGAUAUCGGGAGGAACACCAGUGGCGAAGGCGGCCUACUGGGCACCAACUGACGCUGAGGCUCGAAAGUGUGGGUAGCAAACAGGAUUAGAUACCCUGGUAGUCCACACCGUAAACGAUGAUUACUAGGUGUUGGAGGAUUGACCCCUUCAGUGCCGCAGUUAACACAAUAAGUAAUCCACCUGGGGAGUACGACCGCAAGGUUGAAACUCAAAGGAAUUGACGGGGGCCCGCACAAGCAGUGGAGUAUGUGGUUUAAUUCGACGCAACGCGAAGAACCUUACCAAGUCUUGACAUCCCUUGACGAACAUAGAAAUAUGUUUUCUCUUCGGAGCAAGGAGACAGGUGGUGCAUGGUUGUCGUCAGCUCGUGUCGUGAGAUGUUGGGUUAAGUCCCGCAACGAGCGCAACCCUUACUGUCAGUUACUACGCAAGAGGACUCUGGCAGGACUGCCGUUGACAAAACGGAGGAAGGUGGGGAUGACGUCAAAUCAUCAUGCCCUUUAUGACUUGGGCUACACACGUACUACAAUGGCGUUAAACAAAGAGAAGCAAGACCGCGAGGUGGAGCAAAACUCAGAAACAACGUCCCAGUUCGGACUGCAGGCUGCAACUCGCCUGCACGAAGUCGGAAUUGCUAGUAAUCGUGGAUCAGCAUGCCACGGUGAAUACGUUCCCGGGCCUUGCACACACCGCC
rnacentral:rRNA from 1 species